CCUGCCCCUGGAGGCCUCGCAGGUGUGGCUGCUGUGUCACAGCAGUGUCAGUAGGUGGCAGAGAGGAGAGCGGCUAUGUUUCUGCUCAGUGUUCUGAACAUAUGAGCAUCUGAAAGAUUAGUAACCUAGUAUU